rnacentral:rRNA from 1 species
UACCAGCACCCCGAGUGGUCGGGACGAUUAUUGGGCCUAAAGCAUCCGUAGCCGGUCAUGCAAGUCCUCCGUUAAAUCCACCUGCUUAACAGAUGGGCUGCGGAGGAUACUACAAGGCUAGGAGGCGGAAGAGGCAAGCGGUACUCAGUGGGUAGGGGUAAAAUCCUCUGAUCCAUUGAAGACCACCAGUGGCGAAGGCGGCUUGCCAAUACGCGCUCGACGGUGAGGGAUGAAAGCUGGGGGGAGCAAAUCGG